GGGUGGUACGCGAACUGGCUUAGCAAGCUGUCUUGAAAACAGUCGCCCGCGAGGGUUGGGGGUUCAAUUCCCUCACCACCCG
rnacentral:tRNA from 2 species